UCAUUUUUCCUUAUAGACGCAUCAGAUAGAAGUAAAGUAGCGAUAAUAACGAAUUUGCAGUUCGAUAUCAGCCUAAACGACCUUUCAUUCUUUGGCAAACACUCCCUUUAAAUAUUAAUAUUUUAGAUACAGAAAUGCACAAUAGUAGAAACUUGAUACUAUUAUUUCUCCUUCUAAUUUUUGGAUUCAUUUUCAUUUUGAAGACCUACCCUUAUCUAGACCUUGGCACAAAUAGACAAAUAG